GCGGGGGCGUCGGGAGAGAGGAGGCUCGAAACUACAUUUCCCAUGACGCAGUGAGAAUUUAAAACCAAAACAAUUGGACAGCACUUGUUUUGACAACUGUGCGGCACUGUGCCACGGGACCCUGGUCUUUGAAACCUUGGCGUGCGCGAGAAUUUCCCAGUAUGACAGAGCCAAAACUCCAAGUCAUGUCAGUAGGGCAUGCCCAGUAGAAAAUGCUUUGACAUCUAACAACACCCAGAACCAAUGAUUCCUCCCUGUGGUACCAAGAAGACCUAGACAUGAUCGGAACCUAAAUGCUGGAACUCUUUCGGGAGCAAAGGGUCUGUUGACCAGAAAGAUCCAGGGCUAAAAUCCACCUCAACAUACCUGUGUAGUCAAAUUUGACACCCUCCAAUCAGACCCUGCCAAGCUGGGUCUUAUACGUUU
rnacentral:lncRNA from 1 species